GCGCAGUGCCGGGCCCCUCUGACGGAAGCUCAUGCUCCGUGAUGUCGGAACUGCUCC
rfam:Vasilyevaea enhydra strain ATCC 23634 genome assembly, contig: JN15DRAFT_scaffold00001.1